AACCCUAAAAAUAGUAAAAUAGGCUGAGUAGAAAAGACUCAGAUCAGAAAAGAGGGAGAUUAGAAGAGAGGCCAGAGCAAAGGAAGAAAGAGAGCAGUUGGCCUCCACCGCGUGCAGAGCCGCACGAAGAGAGAGCCUCGGAAUCCGUCUUCUUCAGCCGCAUGCAGAGUCGCGUUUGCCUCAAGUAAGUUCUUCUUCAGUCACGCGCAGGAACGUGUUAACCCUGAGUCUAUUCUUCUUCCGCUGCGCGCAGAGACGCGUGAAAAAAACCGAUCAACCCGGCUUCUUCUUCAUCCUUGCGUAGAGUUGCACGAGGAGUUGUGCGAUUUGGUUCUCCUUCCUCCGUGCGCAGAGUUGCGCCAAGUGCCAAGCAACCAGCUUCUUGUUUGCCGCUUGACAGGAAGCUUUUCUUGCUGCGAUCUCUACUCUGCGCAGAUCUGCCUGAGUUGAGAUGAGACUUGAGCUGAACCGAGUUCGAGCCGAUUUUGAGCCAUUUUUGAGCCAAUUUCAAGCCGUUUUGAGUCGAACUCGAGUUGUUUUUGGGUUGAGUCUAGCUGUGUUGCUGGCUAACAUAUCU
rnacentral:lncRNA from 1 species